ensembl:rRNA 5S_rRNA 5S ribosomal RNA
UUCUAUAGCUAUACCACCCUGAAUGCACCUGGCCUGGGAAGCCAAGGAGGAUUGGGCUGGUUAGCACCUGGAUGGGAAGUCACCUGGAAAUACCCAGUGCAUAGGCC